rnacentral:rRNA from 1 species
CCUACGGGUGGCAGCAGUGGGGAAUAUUGCACAAUGGGGGAAACCCUGAUGCAGCGACGCCGCGUGAGCGAGGAAGUAUUUCGGUAUGUAAAGCUCUAUCAGCAGGGACGAAAAAAGACGGUACUUGACUAAGAAGCCCCGGUUACCUACGUGCCAGCAGCGGCGGUAUUACGUAGGGGGCAAGCGUUAUCCGGAUUUACUGGGUGUAAAGGGAGCGUAGACGGGAAGGCAAGCCAGAAGUGAAAGGGCAGGGCUCAACCCUGUAAAUGCUUUUGGAACUGUGGUGCUAGAGUGCAGGCGAGGAUAGUGGAAUUCCUGGUGUAGCGGUGAAAUGCGUAGAUAUUAGGAGGAACACCAGUGGCGAAGGCGGGUUACUGGACUGUAACUGACGUUGAGGCUCGAAAGCGUGGGGAGCAAACAGGAUUAGAUACCCGGGUAGUC